GACGAACGCUGGCGGCGUGCCUAAUACAUGCAAGUCGAGCGCAGGAAACUGACGGAACUCUUCGGAGGGAAGGCAGUGGAAUGAGCGGCGGACGGGUGAGUAACACGUAAGGAACCUGCCUCAAGGAUUGGGAUAACUCCGAGAAAUCGGAGCUAAUACCGGAUAGUUCAACGGACCGCAUGGUCCGCUGAUGAAAGGCGCUCCGGCGUCACCUUGAGAUGGCCUUGCGGUGCAUUAGCUAGUUGGUGGGGGAACGGCCCACCAAGGCGACGAUGCGUAGCCGACCUGAGAGGGUGAUCGGCCACACUGGGACUGAGACACGGCCCAGACUCCUACGGGAGGCAGCAGUAGGGAAUCUUCCACAAUGGACGAAAGUCUGAUGGAGCAACGCCGCGUGAGUGAUGAAGGUUUUCGGAUCGUAAAACUCUGUUGUAAGGGAAGAACACGUACGAGAGGGAAUGCUCGUACCUUGACGGUACCUUACGAGAAAGCCACGGCUAACUACGUGCCAGCCGCCGCGGUAAUAC
rnacentral:rRNA from 1 species